rnacentral:rRNA from 1 species
CCUACGGGUGGCAGCAGUGGGGAAUAUUGGACAAUGGGGGCAACCCUGAUCCAGCCAUGCCGCGUGUGUGAAGAAGGCCCUCGGGUUGUAAAGCACUUUCAGUGAGGAAGAACGCCUGGUGGUUAAUACCCAUCAGGAAAGACAUCACUCACAGAAGAAGCACCGGCUAACUCCGUGCCAGCAGCCGCGGUAAUACGGAGGGUGCGAGCGUUAAUCGGAAUUACUGGGCGUAAAGCGCGCGUAGGUGGCUUGAUAAGCCGGUUGUGAAAGCCCCGGGCUCAACCUGGGAACGGCAUCCGGAACUGUCAAGCUAGAGUGCAGGAGAGGAAGGUAGAAUUCCCGGUGUAGCGGUGAAAUGCGUAGAGAUCGGGAGGAAUACCAGUGGCGAAGGCGGCCUUCUGGACUGACACUGACACUGAGGUGCGAAAGCGUGGGUAGCAAACAGGAUUAGAUACCCGUC